rnacentral:snRNA from 1 species
GGAUUUGAGGGCGAUCUGGCUGUGACAUCUGUCACCCCAUUGAUCGCCAGGGUUGAUUUGGCUGAUCUGGCUGGCUAGGUGGGUGUUCCUUUCCUCCCUCACUGCUCCAUGUGCAUCCCUCCCAAACCUGCGUGCUCGGUGGAAGAGGAUGGCCAUCCCUGAUGGAGGAACGACCGUUUUAUGGUCAGGAUAUACGAGUAGCUGCACUGCCCUGCCAGAACCUCCAAACAAGCUCGCAAAAUAGAAACAUAGUUGAUUUACAAUAUUGUGUUAGGUUCAGGUGUAUAGCAAAGUGACUCAGUGAUAUUAUGUGUAUAUACAUACAUAU